rnacentral:rRNA from 1 species
AAAGUGGAGCAAUCCAUGAGUAGAGUGGCAAACGGGUGAGUAACACGUGGGUGACCUGCCUUCGAGCGGGGGAUAACGUCCCGAAAGGGACGCUAAUACCGCAUGACAUCCUGCUUUUUAAUAGGCGGAGAUCAAAGCCGGGGAUCGCAAGACCUGGCACUCGAAGAGGGGCCCGCGCCUGAUUAGCUAGUUGGAGAGGUAAUGGCUCACCAAGGCGACGAUCAGUAUCCGGCCUGAGAGGGCGGACGGACACACUGGGACUGAGACACGGCCCAGACUCCUACGGGAGGCAGCAGUGGGGAAUUGUUCGCAAUGGGCGCAAGCCUGACGACGCAACGCCGCGUGGAGGAUGAAGAUCUUCGGGUCGUAAACUCCUUUCGAUCGAGACGAAUGGCCUUCGGGUGAACAAUCCGGAGGAAUGACGGUACCGAGAGAAGAAGCCCCGGCUAACUCCGUGCCAGCAGCCGCGGUAAUACGGGGGGGGCAAGCGUUGUUCGGAAUUACUGGGCGUAAAGGGCUUGUAGGUGGCCAACCAAGUCAGACGUGAAAUCCCUCGGCUUAACCGGGGAACUGCGUCUGAUACUGGAUGGCUUGAGUGUGGGAGAGGGAUGCGGAAUUCCAGGUGUAGCGGUGAAAUGCGUAGAUAUCUGGAGGAACACCGGUGGCGAAGGCGGCAUCCUGGACCAUUACUGACACUGAAAAGCGAAAGCCAGGGGAGCAAACGGGAUUAGAUACCCCGGUAGUCCUGGCCCUAAACGAUGAAUGCUUGGUGUGGCGGGUAUCGAU